rnacentral:rRNA from 1 species
UAGUCGAGUGACUCAGGCAAAACGAGUCACGGCGCACAGCUCAGUAACACGUGGCUAAUCUGCCCUUGAGACGAGAAUAACCCCGGGAAACUGGGGCUAACUCUCGAUAGGCGAAGAACUCUGGAAUGAGUCUUCACCCAAAAAGCUUCACGUUAUCCUCGUGAAGUCGCUCAAGGAUGAGGCCGCGACCGAUCAGGUUGUUGGUGAGGUAAUGGCUCACCAAGCCUUUUACCGGUGCGGGCCGUGGGAGCGGGAGCCCGGAGAUGGGUACUGAGACAAGGACCCAGGCCCUACGGGGCGCAGCAGUCGCGAAAACUUUGCAAUACACGAAAGUGUGACAGGGCUAUCCCGAGUGCCAUCCGCUGAGGAAGGCUUUUACCCAGUCUAGAACGCUGGGGGAAUAAGGAGAGGGCAAGUCUGGUGUCAGCCGCCGCGGUAAUACCAGCUCUCCGAGUGGUGUGGAUGUUUAUUGGGCCUAAAGCAUCCGUAGCUGGCUAAGUUAGUCCCCUGUUAAAUCCACCGAAUUAAUCGUUGGAUUGCGGGGGAUACUGCUUGGCUAGGGGACGAGAGAGGCAGACGGUAUUUUCGGGGUAGGGGUGAAAUCCUAUAAUCCCGGGAAGACCACCAGUGGCGAAGGCUGUCUGCUAGAACGCGCCCGACGGUGAGGGAUGAAAGCUGGGGGAGCGAACCGGAUUAGAUACCCGGGUAGUCCCAGCUGUAAACGAUGCAGGCUAGGUGUUUGGACGGCCACGUGCCGUUCUAGUGCCGCAGGGAAGCUGUUAAGCCUGCCGCCUGGGGAGUACGAUCGCAAGAUUGAAACUAAGGGAAUGGCGGG